rnacentral:rRNA from 1 species
UACGGAGGGUGCAAGCGUUAUCCGGAUUUACUGGGUUUAAAGGGUGCGUAGGCGGCGGGGUAAGUCAGGUGUGAAAUCCCGGAGCUCAACUCCGGAACUGCACUUGAUACUGCCUUGCUCGAGUACUGGAGAGGAGACUGGAAUUUACGGUGUAGCAGUGAAAUGCGUAGAUAUCGUAAGGAAGACCAGUGGCGAAGGCGAGUCUCUGGACAGUUCCUGACACUGAGACACGAAGGCCAGGGGAGCAAACGGG